GAUGAACGCUGGCGGCGUGCCUAAUACAUGCAAGUCGAGCGAAUGGAUUAAGAGCUUGCUCUUAUGAAGUUAGCGGCGGGCGGGUGAGUAACACGUGGGUAACCUGCCCAUAAGACUGGGAUAACUCCGGGAAACCGGGGCUAAUACCGGAUAACAUUUUGAACCGCAUGGUUCGAAAUUGAAAGGCGGCUUCGGCUGUCACUUAUGGAUGGACCCGCGACGCAUUAGCUAGUUGGUGAGGUAACGGCGCACCAAGGCAACGAUGCGUAGCCGACCUGCGAAGGUGAUCGGCCACCACGGUACUGUGCACCGGCCCAGCCUCCUACGGGAGGCAGCAGUAGGGAAUCGUCCGAAAUGGACGAAAGUCUGACGGAGCAACGCCGCGUGAGUGAUGAAGGCUUUCGUGUCGUAAAACUCUGUUGUUAGGGAAGAACAAGUGCUAGUUGACUAAGCUGGCACCUUGACGGUACCUAACCAGAAAGCCACGGCUAACUACGUGCCAGCCGCCGCGGUAA
rnacentral:rRNA from 1 species